CUGAAUUAUUCAGGGCAUGGAUUCUACAAGGUGUCGUAAACAUUCAUUCCUCAAUUGGCAUCAAGUGACGUGUGCCAGGAAAACAUUCCCCACAACAAUACGGCACCAGCCUGUACCGUUGACACCAGGCAGGAUGGGUCCAUGGACUCAUGCUGCUUACGCCAAAUCAUAACUCUGCCAUCAGCAUGACACAACCGGAAUUAAGAUUGGUUAGACCAGGCAAUAUUUUCCCACUCCUCAUUGUCCAGUUUUGGUGAUGGCGUGCCCACUGGAACCGCUUCUGGUUGUUUUUAGCUGAAAUGAGUGUGACCUGGUGUGGUCGUCUGCUGCAAUAGCCCAUCCUUGACAAGGACCAACAAGUUGUGCAUUCUGAGAUGCCUUUCUGCACACCACUGUUGUACUGCGCUGUUAUUUGUCUGCCUGCCUGUUAGCUUGCACAAUUAUUGCCAUUCUCCUUCAACAUCAUCAAAAAACUGUUUUCAUCCACUGGACUGCCGCUUAUGUUUGUUUUUUUGUCGUCACACCAUUCUCUGUAAACCCUAGACACUGUUGUGCAUGAAAAGCCCUGGAGCGCAGCAGUUUCUGAGAUACUAGAUCCGGUGGGCCUGAAACUCGUUUUGCCCAUUCUAUCAAACAGUAGCUGAAAGCUUGUCUGCAUGCUUUUUAUAUCAAGCCAUGGCCAAGCGACUCACUGUCUGUAGGAGUGAUACAUUUUUGUGAAUGGGGUGGUGUACAUAAUAAACUGACCGGUGAUUGUAUACCGUAUGGUGCUGAAUUUAGAGUAGUGCUGAGAAAGUGGUAGGUGAGGAGUUUUGAGGUGAACUCCCAUGUGGGGAGAAGACUGUGUGUGUAAGAGUUAAUUUAAUAAUAGUCUCAGGUAAUAACUAGAGAAAACAGGGAGUCCUUUGGAGCUGAACUGAGUACACUUCUCUUCCAGUUCAGUGGUGUUACAAGAGCCAGUACUCCUGUAACACCACUGAACUGGAAGAGAAGUGACCUACUUUUACUCCGUCACUCAUCCACCGGGUUGUCUCCCUUCCAGUGUGUCCUGGGCUACCAGCCAGCCCUGGCCCUGUGGACCCCGAGCCAGACUGAAGCCCCUGUGGUGGACGAGUGGUGCCAGAGCUGAGCUCCCAGUUUGUGGGGCCAUUCAUUGACCCGGAAGGGUAAAUGAGGUAACGUACCGAUUACAGCGCCCCACUAACAACCGGAUCUCACCCUUUUUCACGUUUCCCUCCUCAGGCUGGUGGUUUCUGGUCCCCAUGCUGAUGCUCUCCCCCACGACACCCCUCCGCCUUCCCUGGACAUUGGGGGAAGUCCCGCCUAUGCCGUCAGAUCCCUCUGGACUCCAGAUGUCGUGGGGGUCGGCUCCAGUACCUGGUAGACAGGGAGGGCUAAGUUCCCUCCUCUUCCCUGAUCAAGAGGUGAUGACCCCUCCACUCCUCUACCACUGUCAACUGUCUCCUGACAUAAACUGAAGCCAUGUCACAUGUGCCCGUUCAUCAACUGGCACACUGAAUGUUUCCUCUCCAAGUACUUGUAUUGUGUUUUGUCUUCCCAGUUAUAUCCUGUCCUGCCCUCAGUGGAAGAUUUGAGCUCUUCUCCAACACCAUCCAUCCAUGAUGAACCUGUCCUGUACUGAAGACUAUGAACACCUCAACCACUGUCCUGCACUGAGGUCAAGCCUCUGAACACCCCAACUCAUGCCUCACACCCUCAUUCAAUCACUGCUGUGAUCCAUUCCCAACACUGUAAGUACCCUCUCAUUCACAUUCCCCAUAAUAUUGUACUGUAAAUGUGUUUAUUAAAUGCUUUAGUCAAAAAUUCUUUGAUUUUUGAAACACCCACCCUUUUCAACUCUGUGUGUUCUGUGCCUAUACCGUGGGUCUCCCAUCCUCCUCAAUGUUUCAAGUCAUCAGCCUCCACUGACAGAACACAACUGUGAAGAUUUUUCACAAAUAUUAGCGUCAUAGCUCUUGCGGGACUUUAACUGGGGGAAAUUACCUCACAAUUCAGUAUUUUAAUCUAUGGAUCUUGGGUUAAUCAGCCUACUCAUUGACACCCACAGACAGUGGUGAUUUUAGCAUGUAAAUCUUGAUGCGACAAAAAAAAAAUAUCAAAAUAUGUUUUAGAUGCAUGCAGCAAAGCCACAACACUAAACAAUACAUUAAUUGCACUAUAACAGU